AGAAUCAACGCUGGCGGCGUGCCUAACACAUGCAAGUCGAACGAGAAAGUGGAGCAAUCCAUGAGUAAAGUGGCGACCGGGUGAGUAACACGUGACUAACCUACCUUCAAGUGGGGGAUAACCUCGGGAAACCGGGGCUAAUACCGCAUAACAUCUUUGGAGUGGAAAUUCUGAAGAUCAAAGGAGCAAUUCGCUGGAAGAGGGGGUCGCGGCUGAUUAGCUAGUUGGCGGGGUAAUGGCCCACCAAGGCUUUGAUCGGUAGCCGGCCUGAGAGGGCGCACGGCCACACUGGAACUGAAACACGGUCCAGACUCCUACGGGAGGCAGCAGUGGGGAAUUUUGCGCAAUGGGGGAAACCCUGACGCAGCAACGCCGCGUGGAGGAUGAAGUCCCUUGGGACGUAAACUCCUUUCGACCGGGAAGAUGAUGACGGUACCGGUGGAAGAGCCCGGCUAACUUCGUGCCAGCAGCCGC
rnacentral:rRNA from 1 species